CCUACGGGAGGCAGCAGUAGGGAAUUUUCGUCAAUGGGCGCAAGCCUGAACGAGCGAUGCCGCGUGAGUGAAGAAGGCCUUCGGGUCGUAAAGCUCUGUUGCGGGGGAAAAAAGGCAGCAUCAGGAAAUGGGUGCUGACUGAUGGUGCCCCGCCAGAAAGUCACGGCUAACUACGUGCCAGCAGCCGCGGUAAUACGUAGGUGACGGGCGUUAUCCGGAAGGAUUGGGCGUAAGGGGGUCGCAGGCGGGCCUGAAAGUCUGGAGUGAAAGGCAUGAGCUAAACUCAUGCAUGGCUUAGGAAACUGGAGGACUGGAGAGCAGGAGAGGGCGGUGGAACUCCAGGUGUAGCGGUAAAAUGCGUAGAUAUAUGGAAGAACACCAGUGGCGAAGGCGGGCGCCUGGCCUGUUGCUGACGCUGAGGCACGAAGGCGUGGGGAGCGAAUAGGAUUAGAUACCCUAGUAGUC
rnacentral:rRNA from 1 species